GGCUCAGCUCUUGCAAAUACCCUCGCAACGGCAUCCAAAGACGGUUGCCACCGCACGACAAAGACGUCGC
rnacentral:ncRNA from 1 species